rnacentral:tRNA from 1 species
UUAAUUGAAGCCAAAUAGAGGCAUAUUACUGUUAAUAAUAUAAUUAGAAAAUUUUAUUCUCAAUUAAA